rnacentral:rRNA from 1 species
AACGAACGCUGGCGGCAGGCCUAACACAUGCCAGUCGAGCGCGCCUUCGGGUGAGCGGCGGACGGGUGUGUAACGCGUGGGAAUAUGCCCUUCUCUACGGAAUAGUCCUGGGAAACUGGGGGUAAUACCGUAUACGCCCUUUGGGGGAAAGAUUUAUCGGGGAAGGAUUAGCCCGCGUUGGAUUAGGUAGUUGGUGGGGUAAUGGCCUACCAAGCCGACGAUCCAUAGCUGGUUUGAGAGGAUGAUCAGCCACACUGGGACUGAGACACGGCCCAGACUCCUACGGGAGGCAGCAGUGGGGAAUCUUAGACAAUGGGGGCAACCCUGAUCUAGCCAUGCCGCGUGAGUGAUGAAGGCCUUAGGGUUGUAAAGCUCUUUCAGCUGGGAAGAUAAUGACGGUACCAGCAGAAGAAGCCCCGGCUAACUCCGUG